AACAUUCAUGUCUAGUAUACGCAAUUUAUACCGUGAAACUGCAAGUGGCUCAUUAAAUCAUUUAUCGUUUAUUUUAUAAUACCUUACUACUUGGAUAACCGUGGUAUUUCUAGAUCUAAUACGUGCUAAAACCCCCCACUUCGGAGGGGGUGUAUUUAUUAUAUUAAAAACCAGUGCCCUUCGGGGCUCUUUGGAGAUUCAUAAUAACUUAACGAAUCGCGUGGCCUUGCGCCGGCGAUGGUUCAUUCAUAUUUCUGCCCUAUCAACUUUCUAUGGUAGUAUAGGGGACUACCGUGGUUUCAACGGGAAACGGGAAAUUAGGGUUCUUUUCCGGAGAGGGACCCUGAAAAACGGCUACCACAUCCAAGGAAGGCAGCGGGCGCGCAAAUUACCCAAUCCCGACACGGGGAGGUAGUGACAAUAAAUACUGAUGCGGGGCUCUUUUGGGUCUUGUAAUUGAAAUGAAUACAAUUUAAAUCCCUUAACGAGGAACAAGUGGAGGGCAAGUCUGGUGCCAGCACCCGCGGUAAUACCAUCUCCAAUAGCGUAUAUUAAAGUUGUUGCAUUUAAAAAGCUCGUAUUUGAACCGUGGGCCUGGCUGGCCGGUCCGUCUCACCGCGUGCACUGCUCCGGCCGGCUCUUUCCUCGUGGAGAGCCGCAUGCUCUUCAGUGGGUGUGUCGGAGAACCAAGACUUUUACUUUGAAAAAAUUAGAGUGCUCAAAGCACGUCUAUGCUCGUAUACAUUAGCGUGUAUAAUAGUAUAAGACGUGUGCUUCUAUUGUGUUUGUCUCUCAGACCGCCGUAAUGAUUAAUAGAGAUGGUCGGGCGCAUCAAUACUCAUUGUCAGAUGUGAAACUCGUGUAUUUAGUGAACACUAACUACUGCAACGCAUUUGACAGAGGAUGUUUUCUUUAAUCAGGGCACGAUGUAGGUAUCGAAGACGAUCAGAUCCCGUCGUACUCUAACCUAAAACUAGCCCACUAGGAAUCGGGCAAGUAUUUUUAUAGACUCGCUCGACCCUUAAAAAAAAUACAGAUCUUGGCUCGGGAAGUUGGCCAAGGUAAUAGG
rnacentral:rRNA from 1 species